AAGCUGCUGCACCGCGCGCGCGCUCACUGAGAUCCGAGGGGAGAAGUUGACAUCGUGGUGGUUGUUGUUGUUGUGGUUGUUGUUGUUGUGGUGGUUGUUGUUGUUUACCCAGGUAGAGCCUCGCUCCGUCUCUCGUAGGGAUAUCAAUUGAGUAGCAGCGAGUAUGGAAUCCAUGUUCAGGUUGGAACAUUACAACGCGGGGCCUAGCCAUGCGGGGCCUUGCCUCCUGCCCUCGCCUGAUUGCAUUUGCUUUAAUUCUCUGCUUAAGUUUAAUUUGUCUUCAUCUGACUCACUACUUUGAAACUUUGUUUCUUUUAAGUAUUUCUACAGUUUUUUUAUUAUCCUACCAGGCCAAGCCCACUUCAGCUGCUAUACCGCUCUUGUUUUCUGAAGCGACCAGUCCAGAACAAAGUGGCUUAUCAACGUGUGGAAAUGUCUGUCGGUCAAAUACUGUAAACGCGUGGUGAUGUUGACUCUAAAUGUGGAGGGGAAAACCCUGAGGAUCCGGAGGAAAAUCCACGCGACCACGGGGAGAGAGAGAGACACACAAACUCCAAAUAUACAGGAGGGGUCGCGAUCGAACCCACCACCUCCUGUAUUCCAGGAGAGGCAGUUAACAUCUCCCAGCCACCAUGGUGCACACUCGAGUACAUGACCACAAUGAGUCUCAGCACUCUAAUUCAGGAGCGUUCUGCCGAGUUGGUUUUGCUGAUGCACCCUUUAGACCGAUGAACAACUAUUUUUAUAAUUUUUUGUUGCCAGAUAAAAGGGUAAAAAAAUACAAUUAUAUUUUUUUUAUGGCAAAUGAGAUUCCAAUGGUGUAAACUAUUUUUAUAUUACCAAUCAAGGCUCACAGAGCUGUUAGAUCUUUUGUCAGAAGCCACCUGGCCAUAGAUGAUAGCUCAACGAAAUGGCUUUUCACGUGGAAGAUUGUAGCAGCCAAAUAAUCUAAAUGCAUGUUACUAAAUGUGGAGGGGAAAAUCGAAGGACCCAGAGAAAAAAUAAUCCGAGUGAGCGAGUGUACUCAUUUGUGUUAGUGUACUCCGUGAGCGUACUCUGCGUGCGUGAGUUCGAUUCCAACCCUGACGCAUUUAUAAUUGCAGUUUACAUUUUUAUUUUUUUUCUCUCUCUCCCUGUAGUGGCAUUGAUUUUUCUCCACAUUUAGAAACAUGCGUUUUGAGAAUUUUGCUGCAAUACAUUUCCAUAUUAUAACCCACUAAGUUGAGCUAUCAUUUGUGUCCAGGUCGAUUCUGAAAAAGAGCUAUGCAGCUCAGAUGGCCUCACCUGGUAAAAUAAAAAAUAUUGUACUGUGUUUGAGGGUUUUUCAAUUUAAUUUCUCAUUUAGCAGUUAAAGAUUAUGUUUCAGGAGGGUCCUGCAUUCGACUGUUUGAACACCACCAAAUAUAUUUUGAGUUUAGGUUUGGAAGAAAAACGGAAAACCCAGUGGAACACCAAUGCCGACGGUGACGGCCGACGCCAGGAUAGCGGCCACGGGCUUGAAGCGAGGGCAACCCGGCUCUUGUCCCAAGAAAGGAAUCCGCUCCCCGCUGCCCUCCACGGUGGCUGCACGCUGAGCCCCAACUUUCCCAGGAGUGUGCAGCGCACGAUCCGGGGCCUGUAGGCGGCUCACUUCAACCCCGACCACGCUGCCGUGUGUUGCACUCAAGAGUGACGUUACCGCUCCCCGUGUCCAGCAGAAUCCGGGUACGCCGCCUGUUCACCUGCCCUUCCACGAGCGACGUGGCCCCCAUUAUACCUGCCACCAGCUCCCGCAGCCAGUCACUCACAGUCGCCGCAUUCUGGGGUGUUGUUGUCGGCAUCUGUGUGGGGGUCACUCGCUCACCAUUAUCACGACAGUUUAUUUG